AUUGAACGCUGGCGGCAGGCUUAACACAUGCAAGUCGAGCGGAGUGAUGGUGCUUGCACUAUCACUUAGCGGCGGACGGGUGAGUAAUGCUUAGGAAUCUGCCUAUUAGUGGGGGACAACAUCUCGAAAGGGAUGCUAAUACCGCAUACGUCCUACGGGAGAAAGCAGGGGAUCACUUGUGACCUUGCGCUAAUAGAUGAGCCUAAGUCGGAUUAGCUAGUUGGUGGGGUAAAGGCCUACCAAGGCGACGAUCUGUAGCGGGUCUGAGAGGAUGAUCCGCCACACUGGGACUGAGACACGGCCCAGACUCCUACGGGAGGCAGCAGUGGGGAAUAUUGGACAAUGGGGGGAACCCUGAUCCAGCCAUGCCGCGUGUGUGAUGAAGGCCUUAUGGUUGUAAAGCACUUUAAGCGAGGAGGAGGCUCUUUUGGUUAAUACCCAAGAUGAGUGGACGUUACUCGCAGAAUAAGCACCGGCUAACUCUGUACCAGCCGCCGCGGUAA
rnacentral:rRNA from 1 species